UCUCGCCUGUUAGGUGGUCUUGGAGUUC
rnacentral:sRNA from 1 species